UUAUAUCAUUUAAAAAAAUUAAACUUGUUUUGUUACAUAAUUAUAUAUUAAUUGCUAUAUAUAAUAUAUAAUAGAUCGAUACAAAUAUUUUGUUACACAAUGAAAUAAUGACUUCUUCUGCUAAUAAAUUCUACACCAUCUUUAUGUUCCUAUCUCUUGUCAUCAUUCUCCUUAUUUCCACAAGUGGUACGAACUAACUAUUGCAAUUUAUAAUAUUUCUGAGACACUGAUUAAGAAAAUAAAAUAAGAAAGUUUUAUAUUGAAAACAUUAUCUUUUACAUUUUUAAGAAGUUAAUUAUAAUGUACAAGAUUUUGCUUAAAAAAAAUUAUACAAGUUUUAAUUUUUUUAUAUUAUAUAUGUAGUUUUUUUAACUAGUACCUCAGAAACCUUAGUUAGUAUUUUCCUUAUAAUAUAUAUUCUCACGAGCUUCUUUUUAUGUUUAGAGCCGCAUGGAAUGUUUAGACGUCGUUGUAGAGAGAGAAGUCAAACAUCGAAAAAAGGGCCUUGUAACGACUCGGAAUGUAAUUCAGGGUGCGUAAAGUUGGAGAAUGCAAGGUUUGGUGCUUGUCAAUUUCCUAGUUGUCCUGGACCUUUUGGUGUUUGUCAAAUCUUGUAUUGUUACUGCUACUUCAAUCGCAGCGAAUCUACGCACCCACAUUAUUUUAAACAUGUUUUACACUUCGAUAAGAACCUACAAAGAGGUUAAUAAAAUUGUUGUUGGUUUAGCUAAUCUUGAUUGUAAGGUAGUAAAUGAGAUUCAAGUGUAUACUAUUUUAUUAAGAAGGUUUAAGUAAAUGUAUGUUAUUUAUUAUUUUUUUUGUUGUAAUUGUAUGGUUCAAAAUGAUAGGUCUAACAUAUUCUCACCUUACUUUUUACCAAAAAUUAUUUGAUUUCUUGCCCAAUAAACUUUGCCAUGUCUUUCAAAAAA
rnacentral:lncRNA from 1 species